rnacentral:rRNA from 1 species
CUACGGGACGCAGCAGUGGGGAAUUUUGGACAAUGGGGGCAACCCUGAUCCAGCCAUGCCGCGUGAGUGAAGAAGGCCUUCGGGUUGUAAAGCUCUUUCAGCCGGGAAGAAAUCGCAUGGGUCAAUACCCUGUGCGGAUGACGGUACCGGAAUAAGAAGCACCGGCUAACUACGUGCCAGCAGCCGCGGUAAUACGUAGGGUGCGAGCGUUAAUCGGAAUUACUGGGCGUAAAGCGUGCGCAGGCGGAUGCUUAAGUCAGAUGUGAAAUCCCCGGGCUUAACCUGGGAAUUGCAUUUGAAACUGGGUGUCUAGAGUGCGUCAGAGGGGGGUGGAAUUCCACGUGUAGCAGUGAAAUGCGUAGAUAUGUGGAGGAACACCAAUGGCGAAGGCAGCCCCCUGGGAUGACACUGACGCUCAUGCACGAAAGCGUGGGGAGCAAACAGGAUUAGAUACCCGCGUAGUC